AGGAAUUCCUCCCGACAGCAUGUUGCCGUACAGGCUCAGGUUUUGCAGAGCAUUUCCACCGCAGAUGAAAGGUGGCACACCUCCGGUAAGUUUGUUUUGUGAGAGUGUGACGUAGCUGAGCCUGGCUUUUUUUCCUAGGGACUCGGGGAUUUUACCUGUCAGGUUGUUUGCGAAUGCUGUGAAUUGUUCGAGGUUUUCCAAAUCCGCAAGACUUUCUGGGAUGCUACCUGUCAGGCGAUUCAAGUGGAGAUGAAGUAUCCGCAGAUUUUUUAGCCCUCCAACCUGUGUAGGAAUGCUGCCAGUUAAAGCGUUCUCGGAGGCAUCCAAGUCAGUAAGCAGCAUGAGGUUGCCAAUCUCAUAUGGAAUCUGACCCGAGAGCUUGUUUUUGUAGAGCUCGAGCAUCUUCAGCUUAGGAAGGUACAUGAGCUCAACCGGAAUGCUGCCGGUGAGAUUGUUGGACUGGAGCUCGAGGUCUUCGAU
rnacentral:lncRNA from 1 species